AUUGAACGCUGGCGGAAUGCUUUACACAUGCAAGUCGAACGGCAGCACGGGGGCAGCCCUGGUGGCGAGUGGCGAACGGGUGAGUAAUACAUCGGAACGUGCCCGGUCGUGGGGGAUAACGUAGCGAAAGUUACGCUAAUACCGCAUACGAUCUGAGGAUGAAAGCGGGGGACCUUCGGGCCUCGCGCGAUCGGAGCGGCCGAUGUCAGAUUGGGUAGUUGGUGGGGUAAAGGCCUACCAAGCCGACGAUCUGUAGCUGGUCUGAGAGGACGACCAGCCACACUGGGACUGAGACACGGCCCAGACUCCUACGGGAGGCAGCAGUGGGGAAUUUUGGACAAUGGGCGCAAGCCUGAUCCAGCCAUUCCGCGUGCAGGACGAAGGCCUUCGGGUUGUAAACUGCUUUUGUACGGAACGAAAAGGCUCUGGCUAAUACCUGGGGCUCAUGACGGUACCGGAAGAAUAAGCACCGGCUAACUACGUG
rnacentral:rRNA from 1 species